UCUUCAACCUGAGGACUCGCAGGGUAAAUGGAAUGCCGUCCUUUGGUUGUUGAGU
rnacentral:pre_miRNA from 1 species